GGAGAUGUGGCUCAAGCAGUAGCGCGCUCGCCUGGCAUGCGUGCGGCCUGGGUUCAAUCCCCAGCACCACCU
rnacentral:tRNA from 1 species